rnacentral:rRNA from 1 species
GACGAACGCUGGCGGCGCGCUUAACACAUGCAAGUCGUACGGUAAGGCCCUUUCGGGGGUCCACGAGUGGCGAACGGGUGAGUAACACGUGAGUAACCUGCCCACAACUUUGGGAUAACGCUAGGAAACUGGUGCUAAUACUGGAUAUGUGCUCCUGCUGCAUGGUGGGGGUUGGAAAGCUCCGGCGGUUGUGGAUGGACUCGCGGCCUAUCAGCUUGUUGGUGGGGUAGUGGCCUACCAAGGCGGCGACGGGUAGCCGGCCUGAGAGGGUGACCGGCCACAUUGGGACUGAGAUACGGCCCAGACUCCUACGGGAGGCAGCAGUGGGGAAUAUUGCACAAUGGGCGCAAGCCUGAUGCAGCAACGCCGCGUGCGGGAUGACGGCCUUCGGGUUGUAAACCGCUUUCAGCAGGGACGAAGCUUUUUGUGACGGUACCUGCAGAAGAAGCACCGGCUAACUACGUG